AUUGAACGCUGGCGGCAGGCCUAACACAUGCAAGUCGAACGAGUGGCGGACGGGGGAGUAAUGUCUGGGAACCUGCCCGAUGGAGGGGGAUAACUACUGGAAACGGUAGCUAAUACCGCAUACCAUCGGAUGUGCCCAGAUGGGAUUAGCUAGUAGGUGGGGUAACGGCUCACCUGGGCGACGAUCCCUAGCUGGUCUGAGAGGAUGACCGGCCAACCUGCAACUGAGUCACGGUCCAGCCUCCUACGGGCUGCAGCGGUGGGGAAUUUGGCACAAUUGCAGCAAGCCUGAUUCCGUCAUGCCGCGUGUCUGCGUAAGGCCUUCGGGUUGUAAAGUACUUUCAGUGAGGCGGCGUUACUCGCAGAAGAAGCACCGGCUAACUCCGUGCCAGCAGCCGCGGUAAUAC
rnacentral:rRNA from 1 species